rnacentral:rRNA from 1 species
GACGAACGCUGGCGGCGUGCCUAAUACAUGCAAGUCGAACGAGUGGCGGACGGGUGAGUAAUGUCUGGGAAACUGCCCGAUGGAGGGGGAUAACUACUGGAAACGGUAGCUAAUACCGCAUACCAUCGGAUGUGCCCAGAUGGGAUUAGCUAGUAGGUGGGGUAACGGCUCACCUAGGCGACGAUCCCUCGCUGGUCUGAGGGGAUGACCAGCCACGCUGGGACUGAGACACGAGCCAGACUCCUACGGAAGGCAGCAGUGGGGAAUAUUGAACAAUGGGCGCAAGACUGAUGCAGCCAUGCCGCGGAUAUGAAGAAGGCCUUCGGGUUGUAAAGUACUUUCAGCGAGGAGGCGUUACUCGCAGAAGAAGCACCGGCUAACUCCGUGCCAGCCGCCGCGUAAUAC